UGCAAGUCGAACGCUGAAGCCCCAGCUUGCUGGGGUGGAUGAGUGGCGAACGGGUGAGUAACACGUGAGUAACCUGCCCAUCACUCUGGGAUAAGCGCUGGAAACGGCGUCUAAUACUGGAUACGAGCAGCGACCGCAUGGUCAGCUGCUGGAAAGACUGGUUCGGUGAUGGAUGGACUCGCGGCCUAUCAGCUUGUUGGUGAGGUAAUGGCUCACCAAGGCGACGACGGGUAGCCGGCCUGAGAGGGUGACCGGCCACACUGGGACUGAGACACGGCCCAGACUCCUACGGGAGGCAGCAGUGGGGAAUAUUGCACAAUGGGCGCAAGCCUGAUGCAGCAACGCCGCGUGAGGGAUGACGGCCUUCGGGUUGUAAACCUCUUUUAGUAGGGAAGAAGCCUUCGGGUGACGGUACCUGCAGAAAAAGCACCGGCUAACUACGUGCCAGCAGCCGCGGUAAUACGUAGGGUGCAAGCGUUGUCCGGAAUUAUUGGGCGUAAAGAGCUCGUAGGCGGCUUGUCGCGUCUGCUGUGAAAACCCGAGGCUCAACCUCGGGCCUGCAGUGGGUACGGGCAAGCUAGAGUGCGGUAGGGGAGAUUGGAAUUCCUGGUGUAGCGGUGGAAUGCGCAGAUAUCAGGAGGAACACCGAUGGCGAAGGCAGAUCUCUGGGCCGUAACUGACGCUGAGGAGCGAAAGCAUGGGGAGCGAACAGGAUUAGAUACCCUGGUAGUCCAUGCCGUAAACGUUGGGAACUAGAUGUAGGGCCUGUUCCACGGGUUCUGUGUCGUAGCUAACGCAUUAAGUUCCCCGCCUGGGGAGUACGGCCGCAAGGCUAAAACUCAAAGGAAUUGACGGGGGCCCGCACAAGCGGCGGAGCAUGCGGAUUAAUUCGAUGCAACGCGAAGAACCUUACCAAGGCUUGACAUAUGGAAGAACGGGUCAGAAAUGAUUCACUCUUUGGACACUUCUAUACAGGUGGUGCAUGGUUGUCGUCAGC
rnacentral:rRNA from 1 species